rnacentral:tRNA from 2 species
GCGGUAAUAGCUCAGUUGGUAGAGCACGACCUUGCCAAGGUCGGGGUCGCGAGUUCGAGCCUCGUUUACCGCU